UCCCUGGUGGCUCAGACAGUAAAGAAUCUGCCUGCAAUGCAGGAGACUCGGGUUCGAUCCCUGGGUAGGGAA
rnacentral:tRNA from 1 species